rnacentral:rRNA from 1 species
GGUGACAGUGGGAUGCGAAGUCGCAAGAUGGAGCCAAUCCCCAAAAGCCGUCUCAGUUCGGAUUGCACUCUGCAACUCGGGUGCAUGAAGUUGGAAUCGCUAGUAAUCGCGGAUCAGCACGCCGCGGGGAAUACGUUCCCGGGCCUUGUACACACCGCCCGUCACACCAUGGGAGUUGGCUUUACCCGAAGGUGGUGCGCUAACCGGCA